rnacentral:rRNA from 1 species
CGGAUUCUGGCUCAGGAUGAACGCUAGCUACAGGCUUAACACAUGCAAGUCAGGGGCAGCAUGUGGUGCUGCAACCAAUGAUGGCGACCGGCGCACGGGUGAGUAACGCGUAUCCAACCUCCCCUUAGUAGAGGAUAGCCCGGCGAAAGUCGGAUUAAUACUCUAUGUUCUUCAAUGCGGACAUCUAAGUUGAAGCAAAGAUUUAUCGCUAAGGGAUGGGGAUGCGUCUGAUUAGGUUGCAGGCGGGGUAACGGCCCACCUGGCCUACGAUCAGUAGGGGUUCUGAGAGGAAGGUCCCCCACACUGGUACUGAGACACGGACCAGACUCCUACGGGAGGCAGCAGUGAGGAAUAUUGGUCAAUGGGCGCGAGCCUGAACCAGCCAAGUAGCGUGCAAGGACGACUGCCCUAUGGGUUGUAAACUGCUUUUAUCAGGGAAUAAAGUGAGGCACGCGUGCCUUUUUGUAUGUACCUGAUGAAUAAGGACCGGCUAAUUCCGUGCCAGCCGCAGC